rnacentral:tRNA from 1 species
CGGCGUCGCGUCCCGGGGGCCGCGGGUUCACGACCCGCGCGGCGGCCGCGCACGGGUCCGUCUCCCGGUGCGCCGC